GCUAUCGGAGUCCGAUUUAGCCAUGCUAGUUGUGCGAGUUUAGACUCGCAGCGGAAAGCUCAGUAACACGUGGCCAAACUACCCUGUGGAUGCGAACAAUCUCGGGAAACUGAGGCUAAUUCCCAAUAGCGCUCCUCGCCUGGAACGGGCGGAGCUCGAAACGCUACGGCGCCACAGGAUGUGGCUGCGGUCGAUUAGGUAGACGGUGGGGUAACGGCCCACCGUGCCAAUAAUCGGUACGGGUUGUGAGAGCAAGAGCCCGGAGACGGAAUCUGAGACAAGAUUCCGGGCCCUACGGGGCGCAGCAGGCGCGAAACCUUUACACUGUACGCAAGUGCGAUAAGGGGACUCCGAGUGUGAAGGCAUAGAGCCUUCACUUUUGUACACCGUAAGGUGGUGUACGAAUAAGGGCUGGGCAAGACCGGUGCCAGCCGCCGCGGUAAUACCGGCAGCCCGAGUGAUGGCCGAUAUUAUUGGGCCUAAAGCGUCCGUAGCUGGCCGGACAAGUCUGUUGGGAAAUCUGUUCGCUUAACGAGCAGGCGUCCAGCGGAAACUGUUCGGCUUGGGACCGGAAGACCUGAGGGGUACGUCCGGGGUAGGAGUGAAAUCCUGUAAUCCUGGACGGACCACCGGUGGCGAAAGCGCCUCAGGAGGACGGAUCCGACAGUGAGGGACGAAAGCUAGGGUCUCGAACCGGAUUAGAUACCCGGGUAGUCCUAGCUGUAAACGAUGUCCGCUAGGUGUGGCGCAGGCUACGAGCCUGCGCUGUGCCGUAGGGAAGCCGAGAAGCGGCCGCCUGGGAAGUACGUCUGCAAGGAUGAAACUAA
rnacentral:rRNA from 1 species